GAUGAUUGGAAUUGAUAAAAUUAUGCCUUGUCUAUAUACUACUCCUCGGAAAAAGCUAAUGUUGAGGUAGAUACACCGAGCUGAAAAGUUUCUGGUAGCAUUGCUACUCUACUCACAUCCGGAAAAAAGCUAAUGUUGUGGUAGAUGCAGUGAUCAGAAAAGGUGUUAGUGAUACAGGAAAGGUUGAGGACAAUGUUUAGUAGGCAGAAGAGUACGCAGAUGUCAGGAGGAGAGAUGUGCAGUUUAGCACGGGGGAUCAUGUGUUCCUAAAAAUCUCUUCUAUGAAAGGGGUAAUGAGGUUUGGAAAAAGAGGCAAGCUUAGUCCCCGAUACAUUGGCCCCUUUG
rnacentral:lncRNA from 1 species